CAUGGUUAUGGGCACAGGGGCUUCAAAGUUUGGGUUUUUGUGGCAGUGCCAUCAGAUCCAGGGGAAAGAAUAAGUUUUGAGGUUUGACAGUCUUGGAAAUAAAGAACCAACCUCAGCUGCUGGUACAGACUGAUCUCCACUGAUCUCAAGGCAGCCACACUCUGUGCAAGCUGACUCCAGGCCCUGCCUACCGAUUUACCUACUGAACACUGCACAGGCCAGAGCAAAUAUGGGCUGCUCCUGCAGUGCCUAAUGUGCCUCAUUUGAAUGAUUUGUCUCAGCCCAUUUGAACUGAGAAAAAAAGAAAGAUGAAUAAAACUUGAUGAAGCAAGGGUUCCUGCAGAGACAAGGUGAUUAUGAAAAAAAGUCAAGUGGAAAAAAAACCCAGAAUAAA